GGCUUCGUAGCUCAGCUGGUACAGCGCUAAUCGCUUUGAGGUAUAGUGUUUCUGUCGCUGGUUCGAAUCCAGCUGAAGCCC